UACGAAGGGUGCGAGCGUUAUUCGGAUUGAUUGGGCGUAAAGGGUGCGCAGGCGGAAUGUUAAGUCAACUGUUAAAUUUCCCGGCCUAACUGGGAGUUCGCGGUAGAAACUGGCGUUCUAGAGGGUGGAAGAGAGAAGCGGAAUUCUCGGAGUAGCGGUAAAAUGCGUAGAUCUCGAGAGGAACACCGAUGGCGAAGGCAGCUUCUUGGUCCAUUUCUGACGCUCAUGCACGAAAGCGUGGGGAGCAAACAGG
rnacentral:rRNA from 1 species